CAUGAACGCUGGCGGCAGGCCUAACACAUGCAAGUCGAACGGAUCCUUCGGGAUUAGUGGCGGACGGGUGAGUAACGCGUGGGAACAUACCCUUUGGUACGGAAUAGCCUCGGGAAACUGGGAGUAAUACCGUAUGUGGUCGAGAGACGAAAGAUUUAUCGCCAAAGGAUUGGCCCGCGUUGGAUUAGGUAGUUGGUGGGGUAAUGGCCUACCAAGCCGACGAUCCAUAGCUGGUUUGAGAGGAUGAUCAGCCACACUGGGACUGAGACACGGCCCAGAAUCCUACGGGAGGCAGCAAUGGGGAAUCUUAGACAAUGGGGGAAACCCUGAUCUAGCCAUGCCGCGUGAUCGAUGAAGGCCUUAGGGUUGUAAAGAUCUUUCAGGUGGGAAGAUAAUGACUGUACCACCAGAAGAAGCCCCGGCUAACUACGUGCCAGCCGCCGCCGUAAUAC
rnacentral:rRNA from 1 species